rnacentral:rRNA from 1 species
GACGAACGCUGGCGGCGUGCCUAAUACAUGCAAGUCGAGCGAAGAAGCGUGGUACUUGUACUUACUGGGUUAGCAGCGAACGGGUGAGUAACGCGUGGGGAAUCUGCCUUUGAGCGGGGGACAACAUUUGGAAACGGAUGCUAAUACCGCAUAAAAACUUUAAACACAUGUUUUAAGUUUGAAAGAUGCACUUGCUUCCAUUAAAGAAUAUACCGCGUUUUAUUUGGUUGUUGGUUAGGUAAAGGCCCACCAAAGCGAAGGUGCCUAACCGAACUGAGGAGGGGGUCGGGCAAAAUGGGACUUGGACACGGGCCAAGCUCCUAAGGGGGGCAACAGUAAGGGAUCUUCGGCCAUGGACGGAAGGCUGACCGGACAACGCCGGCGUAGUGGAGAAGGUUUUCGGGUCGUAAAACUCUGUUGGUAGGGAAGAACGUUGGGUAGAGUGGAAAGCUCAUCAAGUGACGGUAACUACCCAGAAAGGCACGGCUAACUACGUG